CGAACGGCCCUCAUCAGGGCCACACAUAGGCCAAAAUGGCUAUUUU
rfam:Drosophila pseudoobscura pseudoobscura strain MV2-25 chromosome 2, whole genome shotgun sequence.